CGGCGACCGGCGGACGGGUGCGUAACGCGUAUGUAACCUACCUUUGACAGGGGGAUAACAUCGAGAAAUUGGUACUAAUACCCCAUAACAUCACCGGAGGCAUCUUCGGUGGUUGAAAACUCAGGUGGUCAGAGAUGGACAUGCGUUGUAUUAGCUAGUUGGUGAGGUAACGGCUCACCAAGGCGACGAUACAUAGGGGGACUGAGAGGUCAACCCCCACAUUGGUACUGAGACACGGACCAAACUCCUACGGAAGGCAGCAG
rnacentral:rRNA from 1 species